rnacentral:tRNA from 1 species
AAUAAGAUGGCUGAGAUAUUAAGCGAUAGAUUGUAAAUCUAUAAACAAGUUAAAUACUUUCUUAUUA